CUCUGCAAGUCUAUCUGAUGCACAAAUACUGGGGAAUUGGCUGGGAGGUCCUGGAGAAGCACAGAGAGAUUCACACACCUCUUCCAGAGGUUGGUGCAGGAAAUCGACCAGGAAAGCAACCAGGGAAUUGAUGUUCUCAAAAAUCUUCAAGUACAUCUGUGUGUCACUGAGAGUCAGUUUCAUUGAAGUCCCACUGGCAGGUGAGGUUUCUCCUCACUGGACAUGAAGAGACAUUGGUGUAGGACACUGAGAGAUGAAGGAUGCUGCUCAUAUGUCCUUUAUGUGCAAAACACACCUGCAAAAAUGGGGGAGAGUCUUUCACAAAUCAAAACACAGGUAAUUUAUAUAUAAUGUACAUGGGAGAUAAAGGAAGAGAUUCUAUUUCAAUUCUGGUUUAUCACUAGGUUGUUUGGCCUGGAGAAGAAAAGACCCUGGGGAGACCUUAAAGCCUCUUCCAGUGCCUAAAGGGCUCCAAGGGAG